UCAGUAAGACCUGUGAGCUGCCAAUUGGUAGAAGAUGUGAGUGAGGCGGAAGACAGAGCCACGGAGCUGACACAGACUUGCCCUAGUGCCAAGGACCAGGGGGCCUUUGUGGCCUACGGGUUGGGGACCUAAUUGGUGGGAACAGGUGACCGCCGCAAAGCCAAGGCAUGCGAAGCCAUGGAGACAGACCCAGCUCAGGACAGCCUUACAAAGAGUGGCAGAAGUGUCACUGGUCACAAGUCAGGCAUGCGGGGUAUCUGUGGCCUCAGUCUUCAACAACAGAAUGAAUACAUACGUGACUAUUAUUUUCUGAGAUGUACCUAUAUCAAAAAACUGCUCUGUAGUGUAUUAAAAGACUACUAAUGUUUUAA